rnacentral:rRNA from 1 species
CCUACGGGGGGCUGCAGUAAGGAAUAUUGGGCAAUGGAGGCAACUCUGACCCAGCCAUGCCGCGUGAAGGAUGACGGCCCUAUGGGUUGUAAACUUCUUUUAUACGGGAAUAAACCCGGGUACGUGUACCCGGCUGAAUGUACCGUAAGAAUAAGGAUCGGCUAACUCCGUGCCAGCAGCCGCGGUAAUACGGAGGAUCCAGGCGUUAUUCGGAUUCAUUGGGGUUAAGGCGUGUGUGUAAGGAUGCGGUGAAAUCCUACAGCUUAACGGUAGAACUGCCGUUGAUACUGCAAGUCUUGAGUACAGUUGAUGUGGGCGGAAUGUGUCAUGUAGCGGUGAAAUGCUUAGAUAUGACACGGAACACCGAUUGCGAAGGCAGCUCACAAAACUGUAACUGACGCUGAGGCACGACAGCGUGGGGAUCAAACAGGAUUAGAUACCCUUGUAGUC